GAACACAUCUACUGUAUAUAAACCAGCAGCAGAGCUGUUCUCUAUUGUGUGAGUUAAACUCUCUCUCCUCUGAUCACAUCUACUGUAUAUAAACCAGCAGCAGAUCUCUCAGAUCCACAGAGGACAUGUCUCUCUCUUCAGAUCUUCACAAGGUAUAAAUGAGAUGUAGACAAAAAAACACACAGAGAAAAGCAGAGAGAGACUUGCGAGACGGAACAGUAUGGGGAAACUAAAGCCAAUGUUCUCACGUGAUCCAGACGCACCUGUGAUGUUCAUUCAGAUCUUAUUAAGAGAACACAACAUCACAGACACCAGCAGAUGAAGACUGAUCACCAUCAUCAUCAUCAUAUUAUUAUUCUUCUUCAUCAUCGUCAUCUUCAUCAUCAUCUUCAUCAUCUUCAGACUACAGUGUGUUCAGCUCCUGAACUCUUCAGACUCAUCUGAUCACUAACAGACUGAUGAAGCGUUUCUUUCUCAGAUUAUUGAUAACUGU